rnacentral:rRNA from 1 species
UGGCGGCAUGCCUAACACAUGCAAGUCGGACGCCCUGGAGCGAUCCAGGGAGUGGCGCACGGGUGAGUAACGCGUGGGAACCUGCCCCGAGGUACGGAACAACGGCUGGAAACGGCCGCUAAUACCGUAUGUGUCCCCGAGGGGAGAAAGGCUUGUCCGCCUUGGGAGGGGCCCCGCGUCCGAUUAGCUAGUAGGCGGGGUAACGGCCCACCUAGGCGACGAUCGGUAGCUGGUCUGAGAGGAUGAUCAGCCACACUGGGACUGAGACACGGCCCAGACUCC